UGUAUAACACACUGGGAGCCGGUUAGC
rnacentral:piRNA from 1 species